rnacentral:rRNA from 1 species
UACAGAGGGGGCAAGCGUUGUUCGGAAUUACUGGGCGUAAAGCGCACGUAGGCGGCUUUGUAAGUUAGAGGUGAAAGCCCGGGGCUCAACUCCGGAAUUGCCUUUAAGACUGCAUCGCUAGAAUUGUGGAGAGGUAAGUGGAAUUCCGGAGUGUAGAGGUGAAAUUCGUAGAUAUUCGGAAGAACACCGAGUGCGAAGGCGACUUACUGGACACAUAUUGACGCUGAGGUGCGAAAGCGUGGGGAGCAAACAGGG